rnacentral:tRNA from 1 species
GCGAGUGUAGUUCAAUGGUAAAACAUCUCCUUUCCAAGGAGAAGAUACGGGUUCGAUUCCCGCCGCUCCA